GUAAAGGCCAAGAUACUGAAAUUGGAAAUUAAUCAAUGCAGUCUGGGCAAGAAGAGGUAAAAUGUUGGGGAGGACCGUGGAUUUCAACUACCCAUGCAACCCUGCCCUGGGGCCCAGGGCAUAUCAGGGGUUGCCUGCUCCUUCCCUGGCUCACGGAUGUUCCUCCUGGUACAGGUGAGAAAAUCCCCUGGCAAGGAAAAAUACCAUCUCCUAACCAUUAACUUUCUCUCUUGGGUCUUCCUGGACACUGCCUGGCUGGGCAUGAGCCAAGGAUCCAAGCAGCUUUCUUGAGCUGCCGGGACUCCCCUAUGAGGGAGAAGAGAGGGGAAUUGAGUUUUGACAAUGAGAAAAUGAUUUUAUGAUCAAAACCAAAUAGUUCCUAUGUAAAAAUGAAAGUUCUGCCUAUGACCAAAGGCUGACUGGAAAGAGAACAAAAAGCAAGCGGUGAUUGUAUUAUUAAGGCAGGAGGGCUUGUUUUAUUUAUUUGUGCAUCAUGAAUGCAGAGGGUUUUAUAAGUAGCAGGGCGGGGCGGGGGCAGGGGCUUGGGGGGAGUUGGAACUCAGAUCUUAAAGCAGGUCUUGAAGGUUUGGGUGGUGUGCUUUUGGGCAGCCCAGUAAAGCCCCUCUGCCUCUUAACCCACACCAAACCCUCCCAUCCUUCCCUCCUGUUCAUCUAGUGCCCUUGCCAAGGGCCCUGUUAACCGGCAGAUGUAUGCCCUGCACCUGAUAAAAACAGUAAAUGUCAUUAUUGCCCAUUAUCACAUUAGCUCUAAUUAGUUUAUCAGCUCCAGAUCUGAGAGCAGAGCCCUGAGGGAACAGCCUGCUGGAAUUUUGCUUGAGAGAUGAAUCAGGAGCAGCUUGAAGGAGCUCCGCCCUCUACAGGGCAAGUGAUAGCGGGGAGAUGGGGGGGGGGCAUUAAUGCCAGCAGGACUCUAGGAAGGCAAACUUGGCCUUCUUUACACUUUCACCUGAGGUUGAAGGGAGCCAGCCCAGCAGCGGUGAGUAGUGGGUAGGUGGUGUGAGGUCCUGAGGUCGUGAACUUCAAAUGGAACUCCUACAGGAUGCGACUCUCUGGCCCAAUCCCAACCACCUUUAAUUAUAGGCCCUUUAAUUCCCAGCUAAAGAUGUCCGGUUAUGUCCCAUUCCUUUAUCCACUCUCAUUCUGAUCAUUCCAGAUGGGAAGACUACUCCGUUAAGGCACUCCUGAGAAAACUCAUUUGGAUGGUGGAGAUCAUGGGGAAGGGGGCAGAGAGAUAUCAUCAAAUACACAUAAGCCACUGUAUUUGUAAAUUUUUGUGUAUAUGAAGUACCUAACAAUGUGUCUGGUACUUAGUGGGUACUUAGUACGCAUUGAUUCUUUUAUUUACUCGGGACUUGGUUGAACCUCCAAGAAGAAAAACAGUACCUCCCCCUUCCCGGAAAAAAAAAAAAAUCAGAUUUUUAGGCAUUUUAUAUAUUUAAAGAAACUCUUUUGGAGUAUGAAUUCUUUUACCCUAAGAUCAACUUGAAGAAGAAGCACUGCCAUCAAAUUAGACAGAUAGAUAGACAGACAGACAGACAUGAUGGGAUAGAUGUCCUGGUUUUUAGCUGAGAAUACUGUAAACUGGAAUUGAUGAUGAGGAUUCUUACUGCAAAAGUCUCACAUGUAUCAAGUAAGUCCCUCGUGAAUACGAAGUUCAAAACUGAGACCAUGAAAACAUCAAACACAGUAGAUACUUCAUACAGACACAUUGUAAGUUCUCAGGGAGAAAUCAGGCAAGAGUCUCAUUCAUCAUCACUGGAGAGUUCCAUCAUUUGUUUUAUGCUACCAAAAUUCUCUGAUAAAGACAUGGGAUAGUAGAAUAAUGAGAUCAAAUCAAGAUCCAGAUAAUACUAGGAACUAAAACCAACUCUAGAGGCAAAGGUCUGGAGACCCAAGUACUUAGCAUUAAAAUCUUCCUGGUCUUCUCUGUAGGUGAAGCCCUGGUUGCUGUCUCAGGUCUGUGCCAAGGCACAGAGCUUUAGAGUCAAUUCCUGAUGCUGAUUCCCCGGAGAAAAGAGGACAAAGCAAAACAAACCAAAGUGUUGCAGUGGCCUGGAGACCCUGAGUUCAGUCAGACUGGGUAUUAGAUCUUCAUUACAGAACUAAGGAACCCCAGGGACUUUCAUUGCUAAACCGAGGCCAAUACAAAGAAUCUCUCUAAGCCACAUGUAUCAAGCAAGCCCUAAGGAGCCUUGAGUCUUCACGCCAACGCAGGUUGUGGUUACAAGGUCAACAGAGGUACAAGCUUGCUUUGCAAGAAAGAGGAUGCUCACUUACUUUACCCAGCAUCUUUUAACUAGAGGCCCUAUAUUUGUUUUUGAAAACGUGUGUGUGUGUGUGUGUUUCUGUCUGUCAUCCCCUUCUAAAGACUCAGAGCUAUCUCCAAAAUGUGAGACCCACACAGAAAUCUUAACAAAGUCCUGACAGGAACAGGAAACUCUCUCUGGUCCUGUGAAACUUACAGGGGUAAGAGUCAAAUAGAGUAGAAUAUCAUUUAUUACCUGGAGAUAGUAAAAUAAGGAACUGAGGUUAAUAAAUAUCAUCUUGCCUCAGACCUUAAGCCCCUCUAAAGGCCAUAUUUGCAAAAUCUUUUGAUUUAGGAUGAGAUUAGUUUCCAGGGGAUAUUCCUGUCCUCUGUGGAGAAGCUCCCUGGGCUCUGAAGGCAGCGCCUCCCCUCUCUUUGGAAGGUCUCAUGCUGACAGCUGUCCCAGUAGAUUUGUGUGGAACACUCUGAGCAAGGCUUGUUGUCACAUCUGAGUCCCACAUGCUGAGUAAAACCCUCUGCCAAUGGCAUGUACACUCUAACUGCUGAGACGGGGGACAACCCUGUUGAUGGAAAGAAUGACAGAUUGUGCACAUCACACACACACACACACACACACACACACACACCCUCAGGCAUCUAAAUAUGUUGCCAAUCUUACCUAAGCACUGAAGAUGAAAUUCCUGAACUCCCCCUUUAUCUUUUAAUUAUUCUUAGGACGACUCCAUUCUUGCAGAAGGUGACUUGUGUCUGUGCCGUUCCUUCUGCCUCACCUGUAUCUUAUUAAUCUUUCUGCCCCUAUCUUGCCUCAUAAAUAGCUUUCCACGGUUCUCUGACUUAAGGCAACUUUACUUCUGG
rnacentral:lncRNA from 1 species